CGGCAAUCCAAUUAUCGAAAAUGUACGACAUCUCAAAAAUGCAGAACACGGCAUCGACUUUAUUCUCGGCGUACGCUUCUCUUGCGGCGUCGAUGAUGCUUGUUCGCACCAUGGCUAACGAUAUCAUCCCAAAAUCACUCCUCACAUAUAUCCAAUCAGCUAUCAGCUAUCUCUUCACUCCACUUUCUACCCAACUCACCAUCAUCGUCGAUGAACAGUGUGGAAUGACCCGAAAUCAAGUUUACGAGGCCGCCGAAAUUUACCUCCGUACAAAGAUCGGUCCGAACGCCGACAAAGUCCGGGCCCACAAAACCCCUAAACAGAAAAACAUCAACGUGAGCAUAGAGAAGGAUGAAGAGAUCACUGAUGUAUACGGCGUCGUACAGAUGAAAUGGAGAUUGGUCUCUGUUGAGCCUCAGGAUAGACAUGGGUAUACCCCAGAGAAAAGAUUCUUUGAGCUGAGUUUUAAUAAAAGGUUUAAAGAAAGUGUUUUGAAUGAGUAUUUACCCUUUGUGUUGACAAAGGCUAAAGAAAUUCAAGAUAACGAUAGGGCUGUGAAAUUGUAUACAAGGGAUUGUCCUUGUGGUAGUGAUGAUGAUGGGUACGG
rnacentral:misc_RNA from 1 species